rnacentral:rRNA from 2 species
ACUCCGGGAAACCGGGGCUAAUACCGGAUAAUAUUUUGAACCGCAUGGUUCAAUAGUGAAAGACGGUUUCGGCUGUCACUUAUAGAUGGACCCGCGCCGUAUUAGCUAGUUGGUAAGGUAACGGCUUACCAAGGCGACGAUACGUAGCCGACCUGAGAGGGUGAUCGGCCACACUGGAACUGAGACACGGUCCAGACUCCUACGGGAGGCAGCAGUAGGGAAUCUUCCGCAAUGGGCGAAAGCCUGACGGAGCAACGCCGCGUGAGUGAUGAAGGUCUUCGGAUCGUAAAACUCUGUUGUUAGGGAAGAACAAAUUUGUUAGUAACUGAACAAGUCUUGACGGUACCUAACCAGAAAGCCACGGCUAACUACGUGCCAGCAGCCGCGGUAAUACGUAGGUGGCAAGCGUUAUCCGGAAUUAUUGGGCGUAAAGCGCGCGUAGGCGGUUUCUUAAGUCUGAUGUGAAAGCCCACGGCUCAACCGUGGAGGGUCAUUGGAAACUGGGAAACUUGAGUGCAGAAGAGGAGAGUGGAAUUCCAUGUGUAGCGGUGAAAUGCGCAGAGAUAUGGAGGAACACCAGUGGCGAAGGCGGCUCUCUGGUCUGUAACUGACGCUGAUGUGCGAAAGCGUGGGGAUCAAACAGGAUUAGAUACCCUGGUAGUCCACGCCGUAAACGAUGAGUGCUAAGUGUUAGGGGGUUUCCGCCCCUUAGUGCUGCAGCUAACGCAUUAAGCACUCCGCCUGGGGAGUACGACCGCAAGGUUGAAACUCAAAGGAAUUGACGGGGACCCGCACAAGCGGUGGAGCAUGUGGUUUAAUUC